GUGUUGUAUGAACUGAGAAAAGGUUAGCUCUCCCCUUGAAGAGGAUAGAAGAGGCCCUCAGGCUUGAAAAUAUACACACAGGUAAGGAAUUGCCACCUACUUUGUGACAUCUAAUCAUUCUUUUUA
ensembl:snRNA